GUGCUCUCGAGUCCCGUGCCUGUGCCCAAGCUGAAGUCGUGCACAGCGUGGUUUACAUCAGGAGCCCAUGCUAAAUGGCCUUAGAACUGAAUUCCAUGAGGAAGGGGAAGGCGACCUUUUGGGAACUGAUUCAUAUGUUCCACGGGGUGGUCUCGGGACCUCUCAGAGGACAGCUCUCUGAUCAAGUUCUGACGAUUACAAUGUCAUUUUUUCUUCUCUCGAAAUCUUGUUCUUUUUGGCAUUGUGUCUCUCUGCAGGGCCUAGUUGGACUUUUACAAGGACAUGAAAGGACGGUUGCCUGCGCUGCUCCCACACAUGCCUGCACGUGAACUUCCUGCAGUACAUCAGUGGCUCGAACACUCAGGCUGUGCUGCGGCCCUCGGUGCACACUGCUCUGAAACACUGCCUUGAUUCUGUCUAAACCACAGCGUGUGCUGGAGAUCAGAACAGCCCACAGGCACCCUCUGGGAAGUUGGCAGCUACUGUUGGACACGGGAGACAGAACCCGGCCCUUGCUCUGGCAGGGCUCGGCUGAGUUAGUCUUCCCCAGUGACCAGGCUCCACUGGAAGAGCUUGACACUGGAGGGUGUGAGCCUGACGAGGCCUCCCGAAGGUGGAGUGGAAGCCACUUAACAGACAUCACACGAUGCCUCAGAGUGCAGUUCAGCCCCAGGCUCCCUAGCCCACUGUGUCUGACACACCUGCCUGUCCUACCCAUGCACAAAUAAGGACAACAAUGAGCUACACAAGGCAGAUGAAGAUCUGAGACAGAGGGUCCCCAAGGCUGUGUCCUACACGGCUUGCGGCAGUCCAUCGUCCGUGGUGUGAUCAAAUAUCUGACAUCAGCAACUUAAAGGGAAGACUGACUCUGGGCUCUGUGGCUUCUAUGCCUGUGGCAAGCCGGAGAAGGAAGGGUGUGUGGAGGGAAGCUGUUCAUCGCACGAGAGCUGGGAAAGCAUUGUUCCGGACUCCUUAGGGAUGCUGUAUGCAAGACUAUACCUUAGCAAAAUCACCUCCUCCUUCCAACCGACACCCACUCAGACCAACACCAGCAUCUCAGGUAAUAACACUGUGUGUGGGCAGGCGAGGGGGCGGGCCCCAGUCCUCUGCGUGUGUUCACUUACACUGUUGCUAUGCCGACACACAGCUUCCUCUAUGCUAGCACUGGCCUGGCCCCUGAAUCCUCCCUGUGGGUUCCCGCUGAGCAGAGUCUGUUUAAUGUUCACUGGAUGGCCCAGGGGACAGUUCUUCCUAGAUGCCUUCACAUGGGAAAUGAAAUACGUGGCCCACACUGCCACCCCCACAGGGGCUGUCUGCUUCAUUCUGGAUCUCUGGCUCAAGACUGGGACAGUCCUGGGAUGCUAAACAAGGCUGGCACCCACGGGUCUCAGUGCUGGCAUGGUCUUCAGGGUUCUGGGACGCCCACUGGUCACCCCCACCCCUGCACAGUCCGGCAUCACUGGAGGAAGAAGCGUGGAUUGGCAGAUCCAUCUGCUUCCUGCUUAACUCUGACCAUAACACACACACACACACACACACACACACACACACACACACACACACAGUAGAUCUCUGUGAUUUAACUCAGAUCACAGAGGAGGAGGCACCUUCCUCGUGGAGGUGCCUCCAGACACAAGGAAUAAAUGUCACCAGCCCAGGAUCCUGCAACUGCUCUCUGGGUUUGGACCAGUGGGGGGUCCUGGGCAUGAUCCAGUGCCAAGGACCAGAGAAAGAGGUGACUCUGAGUCUCAUGCCCAAGCGAGGGACACGGGGUCAGGGGAGGGCCGGACUGCUCUGUCUACUGUUCUCAUGGGACAGCUAAGGUCAUACCUGCCCAGCUUCCUGGUCUCUGGAAGUCAGCACCGACUCCCUCAUAGCAGAUAUUGUGCCCAGCCUCAGGCAGAGGUCAAGGCAGGCUGUUUCACCUUGUAUUGCCUUGUUUUUUGUAAGCGCCCAAGGGGCCUUCUCUUCCCACCCAUUACCCUGCGCUCAUGUUGGGUGCAGAACUGUCUGCAGGGAUAGAGGACCCUCUGCACAUCCGGGACACAAAUCUUCAUCAGCACUGCCCCUCGGCUGAGUUCAAGGCGGAACAGUAACUGCCCCGGGAUCCUGUGGAAGCUGAGUCACAGGACUUCCAAGGAGGACUGAAGAAGCAGAACAAGAGACCGCAGCUUGUGAGGAUUAAACAGCAAGUUCCUCCUUUCUCUCCAUGCCGCAGGCCUACCCAGUCUUCCCUGAAAGCACACGCAGCUAGCCGCAGCUCCUGGGUCUUCAAUUCCCAGCCACCUUUUAAGUUUGACUUCCAGUCUGCGGUCUGCAGCACCUGAAGGGCUGGCAGUGCCAUCUUCUGAGAAAAGACAUUUCACAACACCUGGUCUGUAGUGAGGUCCCUGGAUGCGGAUGCCACAUGGCACAUGUGGUCUUCAGGAGGGAAAUGCAAAGACUGCACUGGGGCUUAAGGACCAAGGAGCUAGCUCCAGCCAUCUUGGCUGUUCCCAUCUCUGCCUGCGGACCAGGAAGCCGAGCGGCAGCCCACACUCUUCCCCUGGAAUCCUUACCGCUGAGAUGAGAAAUGCAGACUCCUGCUAAUGUGGAGUCUUCCUGGCCGUGUCAGACCGGCUCUGCCCUCUCAUCCCUCAUCCACUUGGCCCACGCUUCAGCCCGAGGACCACAGUUCCUCCUGGAGUCACAUCUCACUCUGACACUCUCUGUGGUAUCCCUCCUCAUACCUUCCUCGUGAACUCUGCUUAUCUUGAUGGGGGUGGCGAUGAGGCCCCGUGGUUUGAUUUUUAUAGCCCUGCAGACCAGGAAGACAGGGCUGACUCAGGGCUGACACAGCGCUUGGCCAUUACAAGGCCAGCUCUGACCUGGGUAUGGCUUUACCAUGCCUGCUGAGGACUAGGCAGAAAGGAGUCACCAGAGCGCUUGACACUGUCCCAUGGCCGGACACACUGCGGGGGUCUGCUCUACGGUACCCGCACUUGGCAGGUGCAGAACAGUAUGUUCUAGAUGCUGGAUGAAGGGUCACAUGGCAUUGGUUCAGUUCUGUGAUCCUGGCCGUGGAUCCCUUAAGUCUGAUGCUCUGUUUGAAAACAGGAACACAGGCCCGGGACCUGUUCCUUCCCUUCCUGCAGAACCGUUUCUGAGCAUGCCCCGGAGGUCACAGGGGUGCCAGGACGGAUGUGUGGAGCCUGGGUCUGUGCCGCUGUGUUACUUAUCACAGAAGAGCGUGGCUGAAGACCACUGUGGCGCGGCUCUAUCCCUGUCCUGGCUGUUCAUCCUGGCUGUCCCUUUAUCCCUCGUUCCUUCUGUCCAUCCAAGUUUAGUAUAAAGCAAGGAGAGCAGAGAUUCUCCAGUGAUGAAGCCAGAGCUGUGCUCGUGGCUCUAGGAAAAACGGCUGGGGAGUUAGCAUCCGAACCCCAGAAACGUCAGCCUGCUCAUGGGCGCAGAUUGCUUUAGACCUGCAUCAGCUCUUUGAGACUAGACACACACACACACACACACACACACACACACACACACACACACACACUCAAAGGCAAGAAAGAAAGCUAAAUACAGCUGAGAAAGAGAAAAGAUGGCAAGGUUCUGGAGAGACUCUCAGGGAGUAAGACCACUCUUGCAGAAGACCCAUGCUUGGCUCCCAAGUUCCCAUGUUAGGUAGCUCACAGGGAGCCUAUAACUUCAGCCAUGGAGGAUCUGAUGCCCUCUUCUGGCCUCUGUAAGCACUGGUACUCACGUGUAUACACGCACACACGCACGCCCGCACAUAAACACAGAAAUAACAUGUGGAGAAUACAGUUCCUCCCUAUGUGACAAUCAGUAUAAGAACUGCCCUCAUGCCUUGUGUUGUCUGGGAGGCAUUCUGACCCAGGCUGCCAGGUUAUAGACCCCAAACCCAGGACACGCUGACCUCCGAGCCCUCUCAUUCAGUCCCACGUAGCUGUGAUGAUGCCUCGCCCUCAGAGCCUCCCUCCUAAUGGCUCUCCACCCUGCAUCUCCCAAGCUCAGCCACAGGCUCCCAGUCUGUGCAGGAAGGCAGCCCCCUCCAGCAGCAGCACCCCCAUCCCAGCUGGGGGAACACAGGUUGAGAUCCCGGGCUGCACCCACAUCUCAGCUGUGGCUGCCCACAAAACAGGAACAGCAUGAAUCUCAUUUCCCCAGAAAAGCAGGUUUUGCUUCUCUAUAAAUGUGCCUAGUUAUUUUGGGGCUAAAAAUGGCACCGAGGGGACUGGUACACAGAUUCCAAUGCUCUACUCCUGAGACUCGGAAGCCUCCAGCACUGAGCCUCUCUAGAGCAUGUGGCAUAAUAAAGGGAGCAUUACCUUAGCUUGGUGGCCUUCUGGGGAAGGCUGCACAGAGCACCCCCAGCACUUUGGGUUUUAGUUUACUAGUAUUAAUAGCAGUAACAGUGAUGAGGAGGACGAUAUAGUGCUGCCAUUUGGGGAAAGACAUCUUAAGGGAGUGUUAGUAUGUCCCAGUAUAAAAAUGACCGCUAC